CCCACACACAAUGUUGCAAUCGGUAAUUAGAGGCUCUCCGAGGUGGCCGCCGUUCGACUACCGACCAUGCGGCAGUUGGCCAUCUUGGAUCCUUUGUUCCCUCAGCGGUGUUUGGUCGUCGAGCGCAUGGUACUAAAAACGGCUACUCGACGGUGCGAACACUGCUGAGCUUCCAGGCCGUUCGGGAGCGCUGGGCCGUUCGGUAUUUUGUUCCCUGGAAGGCAAUCGGUAUUUUGAACAUGUAUUUUAAUGAAUGUAUUUUUCGUGCGGCGUUCGGUUGGUUUAGCUGGGAGCGGUAAUCUCACGAAUGAUGCGCUCAGACCCCAGCUAUCCACCGAACGUCCAUUCGUUUAAAUAAACCGCAUAUUCGAAAAGUUAUAUAUUUUAAUGUAAAUUGUUGGUUCUGCUACACGGAGGGAUAAUCCACUUAACG